AAGACACUGAUUCUCAAUUAGGAUAUCAUCCAGCCCAAAAGAGUUCGCCAUUUUUGAUUUGUAUAUAUAUUUGAUAACGAGGUCAAAAAUGAAAUCUUUUCCAGGAAUUAUACCUAAACCCCGACCAUAUCUAUUGGACUACGAUAAUGUGCUUGUAACGACCUCCGGUACCAGUUUCUUUAACCAAUGUUUCCCCAGUAGCUCAAUUGAUCUUGCAUUGGCUUUUUUUGCUACACAUUACUUAUCAAAACCACUUCCUUUGUCCGACCAUGUUUAUCGAUUCUUUCCUGGAAAUCAGGACGAAAGGGAGGCCAUUACAAAACAAGCAGCCGAUGAUUGGUUGGUGUUCCUCAAACACAGAGCAAAAGAACUAAAACAAGGUGGUUGGGGAGUUUUCUCAACACUAGGAGAGACGGAAGCUACACCAGAUAAACCAGCCAUGAUGGGUCUUCACGAUGUAUUUGCUAGUAUGGAUGACAUCUGGAAAGCUUUCGUUUCAAAGGGCCUGAUAACUAAGGAAGAAUACAGACGAUGUUCUUUUGCUGCAUGUUUUAGAAACGCACGUGAGUUACAGGAACCGUUUAACUCUGAAGAAUUAAGGAAGGCUGGUUUGAGAUUUGAUGACGUUAAAUUUACUUUUGUCCCUGACUUCUUUAUCACGGAAUGGAGAGAACAUUUAGAAAAAGGAAUCGAUGACAGAGCAAUGUUUGCUAGAUAUAUUACGAAAAUCACAAGAGUCUUCUCUUACAAUACAUUUGAUGGUUCAUUAAACGAGGACAGAAGUUCCAAAGAGAAAUCUCAGAUUUGUGAUCUAGUGUACAAAGAGAUGGAGAACUAUUUUCUAUCGAAGCAUCCUGAGGAUUUCAAAACUGAUUUUUUUAUGAAUACAGUGUAUGUUUAUAAAGAAUAGAUGGUAGAAUUUGUAUAUACAUUUGUUAUAAUAUGAUAUUGUAAAAUCUAGAAUAAUAAAAGUCAUUUACACUAAA